AUAUCAAUAAGCGGAGGAAAAGAAACUAACAAGGAUUCCCCUAGUAACUGCGAGUGAACCGGGAAAAGCUCAAAUUUAAAAUCUGGCAGCAUUUCGCUGUCCGAGUUGUAGUCUAGAGAAGCGUUUUCCGCCCUGGACCGUGUACAAGUCUCUUGGAACAGAGCGUCAUAGAGGGUGAGAAUCCCGUCUUUGACACGGACUACCAGUGCUUUGUGAUGCGCUCUCAAAGAGUCGAGUUGUUUGGGAAUGCAGCUCAAAAUGGGUGGUAAAUUCCAUCUAAAGCUAAAUAUUGGCGAGAGACCGAUAGCGAACAAGUACCGUGAGGGAAAGAUGAAAAGCACUUUGGAAAGAGAGUUAAACAGUACGUGAAAUUGCUGAAAGGGAAACGCUUGAAGUCAGUCGCGUUGUUCAGAACUCAGCCUUGCUUUUGCUCGGUGCAUUUUCUGUUUAACGGGCCAGCAUCAGUUUUGACUGCAGGAGAAAGGUCAGAGGAAUGUGGCACCUUCGGGUGUGUUAUAGCCUCUGGUUGCAUGCUGUGGUUGGGACUGAGGAUCUCAGCACGCGUAAGUUGUGCUUAGGAUGCUGGCGUAAUGGCUUUAAACGACCCGUCUUGAAACACGGACCAAGGAGUCUAACAUGCCUG
rnacentral:rRNA from 1 species